AAAAGAAAAAGAUAAAAGCAAACCAGGUAAAUAGCAACUUUUUACUAAUCCUUCUUUGACUAUCUUGUCUGGAGUUUUCCUUCUGCUCCUUUGGGAAAGCACCCCAGAAAGAAUUAAGGGACCCUCUCCACUCCACUCUGUGGAGUGGUCCUGAAUGUAUCUCAAUUGUGGGGAUUUCUAACAAGGUCAACACAGCCUAAGUCCCUCUGCUAACCCCUCUCUUCUCAGAUCAGAUUAAAACUCAAAUUUUGCUUCAACUGUAGAAGCAAAACCAUGGGGACCCCAUACAAUCUUGCAGAAACACCUCCUCAAUCCAGCUUUGGGAUGUGGGGGUCAGGCUCCAUGGUGAACAUUCCCUGAGACCUGAAUCCUGAAACUAGCACCAAACGGAUAUCCUGGCACCACUCACCCCAGCUUUCAGCAGGUUCUGUCCAGGAACAGCCUGAGAAGAAUUCAGGUAUCCCUGGCAACAUCCAGCAUGGCAAUGUGAGGUGAAAAAGCCAGUGAGUCUCUGCAUUUGCAAUCAAAAGGAAGCCAUGAUAUGAAAGAAUGAAAAAGAGGAAAUAAACAGUUAAGCAUAUCUAAGAAAAGUCUGACAUUAUAUGCAGAGUUCCAGAGCCAUAGUCUACCACCUCUUUCAAGAAGUUAAGGAUGGAGGACCAGUGACAUCACAGAACAAUGUCUGGACUCCUGUAUGAACUGGAUUUAAGUGAGGGGGAACUGCACAAAGUCAUCAGCCUCUUUUCCAGAGUCAUUGAAGUUCAGUGGCAAAUCAAAAGUCAGGAUGACUGGCAAUGACCCAAGAUAUAGUGGAUGACUUUGGUAUCUUCAAUGUCUGACUGAACUCUAAGCUCUCCACAACACCUGCUUCAACCGCCUUCAUGGCCAUUGGAACAAAUUGUUCUCAUCCGCUCAUUUGUGUCCAGAUAUGACAUAACUAAUGGAUGAGUUUUCAUCUCAUUUACCACUGGGGUGGGUCCCAAAGGUCAUUCCUCACUCUUCAAGACAUCGAUGCUGAGCAGGUUCCAAAGCCUAGACCCUGGGACCAAGACAUCUGGAAGUUCUCUCUUCCUGAUCUUUCAGCGCUCGCAAGGUCACAGUCUCCAAUCACUUCUUCUAAGAUGAAAAAGAAUAAAUUCAGAAGCAAAGGAGUGACUUGUUUAAUCAAACCAAAUGUUAGUCUUAGACAGGAGAAGGAUCAAAGCAUCUCUUAUAACAAAAAUGGCCAAAGUCUAUCUUGCUGAAGGCACUCCCAGUUCCAACCAUGGAGCCAAUAUAAAAGUCUUUUUCUAACUUUAUAGUUAGCAGAACCAAUUACAGAAUGUCUCUCUAGAGUUUUUUUCCAGGCACAUCUAUUACUUAUCAUCACAGCUCUUCCAGAAACUGACUAUCCAGGUUUCUCAACAUGGGGAAACAUAACAGAGGCACUUUUCCAGUAUAUUGCUUUAAAAUUCCAAACAGGCCCUGAGAAGCAUACAGAGAUAUACAUAAUCAGCCCUUCCCAUGGAAACAAACAAACAGAAUCACCUUGGUUCCUGAUCCCUCCCUGCCCAGAGUCUUUAGGGAAAAGGGAUCUGCAAAAGACUAAAGUUAGAUCAGAAGAAGGUUCUCCAAGGAGUCAUUGUUUCAUUUUGUAGCACAUCUCCAUGGCACUGGAGCUUCAAAGAUGAGUCCUUUGCUAAUCUCUCUAAAGGGAACAACAAGUUCAUAUGCUGAAAAGACUUAUUUUUGUCAGAGAUGCUUAUUAGAUUAGAUAUACUUUAACAUAGAGGAAUGGAAUUUUUGCAUUUGAAAGUAUUUUGUUGCCCAGAAGUGGAGUGAGUCUAUUGGAUGAUGGUAAUGAUUAUGUUUGGUAUUGAUCUUUAUCACCAUCAUUGAUUUUUUUCUCAUCAAUAUAAUAAUUAUCAACAAAUAUGAACAUUUCAGGAUUU